GCCACGCACAGUGGCGUGUGCUUGUAGCCCCAGCUACUUGGGAGACUGAGGCAGGAAGAUCUCUGAGCCCAGGAGUGCUGAGCUGUCAUGUGAUAUGCCGAUCAGGUGUCCACAUUAACUCUGGCCUCAAUAUGAUAAGCUCCUGGGAGCAGGGAACCACUAGGUUGCCUCAGGAGGGGAGAAUUGGCCCAGAUGGAAAACAGAGCAGGUCACAACUCCUGUGCUGAUUAGUAGUAGGACUGCGUUUGUGAAUAGCCACUGUGCUCCAGCCUGGGCAACAUGGUGAGACCCUGUCUUU
rnacentral:SRP_RNA from 1 species